UACGUAGGGGGCUAGCGUUGUCCGGAUUUAUUGGGCGUAAAGCGCGUGUAGGCGGCCAGGUAGGUCCGCUGUGAAAACUCGAGGCUCAACCUCGAGCUGUCGGCGGAAACCAUCUGGCUAGAGUCCGGAAGAGGAGAGUGGAAUUCCUGGUGUAGCGGUGAAAUGCGCAGAUAUCAGGAAGAACACCCGUGGCGAAAGCGGCUCACUGGACCACAACUGACGCUGAUGCGCGAAAGCUAGGGGAGCAAACAGG
rnacentral:rRNA from 1 species